UACGAAGGGUGCAAGCGUUACUCGGAAUUACUGGGCGUAAAGAGUGCGUAGGUGGUUUUUUAAGUCCGUUGUGAAAUCCCUGGGCUCAACCUGGGAAUGGCAGUGGAUACUGGAAAGCUAGAGUUCGGUAGAGGGUAGUGGAAUUCCCGGUGUAGCAGUGAAAUGCGUAGAGAUCGGGAGGAACACCAGUGGCGAAGGCGGCUACCUGGACCAGCACUGACACUGAGGCACGAAAGCGUGGGGAUCAAACAGG
rnacentral:rRNA from 1 species